ensembl:lncRNA
GCUGAGGCCCGAGGAGCCACCGGCGAGCGUGAUGCGCAGCUGAGGGCUGGGAGCUUUCGGCGUCGGCGGGCUUGUCCGCAUCCCCAGUAUCCCGCGGGUCGAAGGCCGGCGUCAGCGUCUUUACAGCCUCUAAAGGAUGAGGUCUGGGCCGGGCGGGUCCAGCUCCCCGCGGUCCAGGCGCUGCACCAGGGCCCUGGCGUCGCUGUGUGCUGUUCUUGGGCGCAGAGGGGCCGCCCCACGGUGGAGGUGGGGUCGCUGCAGCCCCCAAAGGUAGAUCAGCUUUUCUUCCCCGUGUCCCGUGGCCCUGACCCCCACACCUAACGGAAGCCGGCGUCGGGAUAAUGCGAGGUCGGUCGAGGCUCAGACUUUCUGAGCUCAGGUAAGUUUCCAAAGUGAGCCUCAAACUUGAGAGGGGAAGGGAGUUGGGGUGCGGAGGGAAGGCUGCGCGGCUCCUGCAGGCCCCGCUCCCGCACGCCCGUAGGAUCCCGACGGAGGGUCAGGGUACGAAGGCCGGACGAGCCGUCCCCCUUUCACUCGGCCGAGCAGCUGUGGCUCCGGUCUCUCUUGCAGCUUUAGGCAUGGGGACCGCAUUCCACCUUCGGAUUUGUAUCGGAUUUCCAUCGUUGCUUUGAUGUUACUGUUCCCUUCGUGGAUAGAGGACUGGGAGAAAUGGAGGAGGUGGGGAUGUGAGAUGCUGAGUGUCAGGCUCGUGGAGCGCCUAGGAUCGUGGCAGGCGGGCCUGACUCACCUCAGUGCUUGUUCAGAAGCGGGGUGCGGUGGGCCCGAGUCGGAAACCGCGGGGAGACAGGUGUGGUGAGCGCCUUCGUCCACCAGGGGCGCCUCGGCCAAGGCGGCGGGAGGAGCCCGGUCCCCGGGUUUGGCCCAGGAACGUGCCCGCCAUCCCGUGGUCUCCACCCCACGCCCGUCUCCAGGCGCACGGUCCGCUCGCCCUCAGCCACCACUCGGCGCCACCUGCAGCUCCUGGUGGGCCCCCAGCUCCCGGUCCGAGCAGGCUCCGCCUGCGGGAAGCGCGGCGCCGGACGCUUUCUCAGCCAAGGACGCCGGGACAGGCGCGAGCGGAAUCGAGGGCUAGCGGUUUGGUGACCCUCGCUUGGUUGUUCCGGAGCCUUUGAGGGAGAGGGCAGCACAGAGGAGACGGCGAGGGGCACCGGGCACCAGGGCUCCUCCAGCGCCCGAGACUAACCUGUGGCAGUGUCACGUGGCCGGGGACACAUACCUCUCCUUCCUGAGGUUCCAGGGCCUCACGAUCCACACCAGAUGCCCACAUAGUGAGCCAGAGUCCUGUGCUGCCAGAGCCAUCUUUGAUGACUUCCACAUGACCCUGGGACUCCACCUUUCGGCUGUCCUGACCCCGCAGGGAGGGGUUGGCCAGAGAGCUAGCUGCACCUGGUACCCGGUAGGUCAGCUUAUACCAACCUCAGAGACUGACCGGCUCCUUCUCCUUGUCUCAAUUUUCCCUCUAUCUCUGAGCAAUGAAAAAAUAAAUUUAUCUAUUUCUACUACUUUAGAAUACUUUUAAAUUUCAGGAAUUACCUGAGUUUCAAAUAAUAAAAUAAAUCCACAUGAGCCCAUCCUCAGUUGGCUCAGUGGCCAUUUACCCACAUAGGGUCUGCGUUCCUGUAAAGAGAGGAUUCUCCAGCUUUGUGUUUCUUACUUUCCCCUAAUGGCAGCAAGCAGCCAUCAGUCCCCACUUAGAGCUCUUCGCAGCAUUUCCAUCCAUGCCAUUGAGGAGCCUGAUUCAGUCUUUCUUCCUGUCAGCCUGGAGGUUGUCUGGAAGUAGAGCAUGGGAGGAAAUAGAGAGCCUAGAGGGGUUAAGCAAGGAAACCAGGACUGCGCAGCACGGCGCUGAUUUGAAAUGCCUGGGAGAGGGGAGCUGGACUUGUUCCUCAUACGCCUGCUAUGCCAAGGAGGAACAAACACAUCGAGAGGCCUUUCCACUUCCCUAUAGUGGUUCUAGUCCAGCACUGUCUGGUAGAAACACAACAGUAGACACAAAUGUGAACAGUUUUAAAUUUUCUAGUAGUCACAUUCAAAAAGCAAAAAAAAAAGGUAAAAUUAAUUUGCAUUAUAUAUUUUGUUACAGUCAAUAUUUUUUAAAAUAUUGUCAUUUCAACAUGUAGAAUUAAAAAAUUACUGUUAUCGAGCAUGGUGGCAGGGCCCUGUAGUCCCACUACUCAGGUUGAGGUGGAAGGAUCAUUUGAGCCCCAGCUUGAGACCAGCCUGGACAACAUAGACAGACCCUAUAUUAAAGAAGAUAUUGCUAUAUUUUACAUCCUUUUUUUGUGGUACUGAGGAUUGAAACUAAGGCCUUCACACUGAGCUGCAUCCCUCCCUCCAUCCUUUGAGACAGGGUCUCACUAAGUUGCCCAGGCUGGGCUCAAACUGUGUGAUCCUCUUCCUCAGGGAGAGGUAUAUCCAUAUUCCUGUCUCUUUUCUUACCCAGUCCUGCGGAACUGACGUGUAUUUUUCACUUACAG